UACAAAAAUACAUUUCGUUCGUUUAAGGGACUAGAAAACCAAAACUAGAUGGGCCAAUUCUUGAUACAGAAAAAUAUAAAUGUAUAUCAUUGAAUAUAGUAAUUCACAUUCAACGAACUGUAAUUUGGUUUUGCUAUAAAUGUACGUAUUUACAAACAGAGCACUAAGCAUUCAUGGCAAUUUUGUACGUAUGGGAGGCAGAGGGAAGUAGUGUUGGGCAUUGUGCACUGCUACUUGACAAUGGUAAAUACAUCAGUUGGUGGCCAAAAGAAAAUAAAAGCAAAUAUAAAAAGAAGAAGAAAAAGGACAUGAGGAGAGAAUUGAGAAUUUUCGGCGACGUUAUUGAUGUCUACAUUGACGUCGCCACAAUUUCUACGCUAUGUUUCCCACUAUAUAGACACUAGCUACGAAUACGUUGGACAUUAACUGCCGGAAUUUCUGGGUUGGGUAAGGAACCGGUCAUUCGCAAACGUAACAAU